rnacentral:rRNA from 1 species
AGUGAACGCUGGCGGCGUGCCUAAUACAUGCAAGUCGAACGGAGUGGCGCACGGGUGAGUAAUAUAUAGCUAAUUUGCCCCUUGCUGGAGGACAACAGUUAGAACUGUCUGAUAAUACUCCAUAGAAAGGGAGGAGACUAUAUCGUAUCAGCUAGUCGGUGGGGUAACGGCCUACCGAGGCUAUGACGCGUAACUGUUCUGAGAUGAUGCGCAGUCACAGGGGAACGGAGACACGGUCCAAACUCCUACGGGGGGGAGCAGUAGGGAAUAGUGCGCAAUGGGCGAAACUCUGACGCAGCAACGGCGCGUGGAGGAUGACACUUGUCGGAGCGUAAACUCCUUUUGAUAGGGAAGCGGUACCUAACGAAUAAGCACCGGCUAACUCCGUGCCAGCAGCCGCGGUAAUUC